rnacentral:rRNA from 1 species
GAUGAACGCUGGCGGCGUGCCUAAUACAUGCAAGUCGAGCGAACGGACGAGAAGCUUGCUUCUCGGAUGUUAGCGGCGGACGGGUGAGUAACACGUGGAUAACCUCCCUAUAAGACUGGGAUAACUUCGGGAAACCGGAGCUUAUACCGGAUGAUAUUUUGAACCGUAGGGUUCAAAAGUGAAAGUCGGUCUUGCUGUCUCGUAUAGAUGGAUCCGCGCUGCAUUAGCUAGUUGGUAAGGUAACGGCUUACCAAGGCAACGAUGCAUAGCCGACCUGAGAGGGUGAUCGGCCACACUGGAACUGAGACACGGUCCAGACUCCUACGGGAGGCAGCAGUAGGGAAUCUUCCGCAAUGGGCGAAAGCCUGACGGAGCAACGCCGCGUGAGUGAUGAAGGUCUUCGGAUCGUAAAACUCUGUUAUUAGGGAAGAACAUAUGUGUAAGUAACUGUGCACAUCUUGACGGUACCUAAUCAGAAAGCCACGGCUAACUACGUG